UACGGAGGGGGGCGAGCGUUGUCCGAAGUUACUGGGCGUAAAGCGCGUGUAGGCGGGUUGCCAAGUCCGCUGUGAAAGCCCGAGGCUCAACCUCGGAGGGUCGGUGGAUACUGGCAGUCUUGAAGGUGCUAGGGGGGAGAUGGAAUUACCGGUGUAGCGGUGAAAUGCGUAGAGAUCGGUAGGAACACCAGUGGCGAAGGCGGUCUCCUGGGGCAUUCUUGACGCUGAGACGCGAAAGCUGGGGGAGCGAACGGG
rnacentral:rRNA from 1 species